rnacentral:tRNA from 1 species
GAUCUAAGUAAAAGUUUGAUUUGCAUUCAGAAUAGAAACUGAUUAAGUUUUUAGGUCA